rnacentral:lncRNA from 1 species
GGCUGCUUUUCUCAUGGUACUAUAACUAUUUAUUAAGGAAAGUUCGCAUAUUUUACAUCAAAUACCUUGAUUCGAUUUUGAUAUUAUAUUGAGAUUGAAAGGUAAAAGCUGAAAAACAUUGAAUCAAUGAUCCUAGACCGAGGUCCCAGGCUGAGUGCUCUGAAGAACCAUUGAUUCAAAAUUUUUCUUUGCAGCUCGUGGCAGCUAUCUGGCCAACCAGCCCAGAAACUAUGGGCUGCUGUCCACCCCCAGGGGCAUCAUGAAAGAAUAGCCUGGAUCCAUCACCUCUAUGCAGAGAUCCAGCCAACCAAGGGUCAAAGCAUCAUACUGAAUAAAGAGGGUCAACACAUGAGGACCACAUCGGUGGUAUACCUUGUCCUCCAGAUUCCAAUUGGGUUUUGCAAAUGGCGGAAAGGAGAAGAAUGAGAAUCACAACUGGCGGUGCCUACAAGGUACAUCCCAGCUUGCUGGAAAAUUUUUUUUUCACAAGGUAUUUAUUUAUUUAUUUAUUUGAGGAAGAUUAGCCUGAGAUAACUACUGCCAAUCCUCCUCUUUUUGCUGAGGAAGACUGGCCCUGAGCUAGAAUCCAUG